UUGAUCCUGGCUCAGGACGAACGCUGGCGGCGUGCUUAACACAUGCAAGUCGAACGCUGAAGCCCUUCGGGGUGGAUGAGUGGCGAACGGGUGAGUAACACGUGGGUAAUCUGCCCUGCACUCUGGGAUAAGCCUUGGAAACGGGGUCUAAUACCGGAUAGGACACGUGGCCGCAUGGUCUGCGUGUGGAAAGUUCCGGCGGUGCAGGUUGAGCCCGCGGCCUAUCAGCUUGUUGGUGGGGUGAUGGCCUACCAAGGCGACGACGGGUAGCCGGCCUGAGAGGGUGACCGGCCACACUGGGACUGAGACACGGCCCAGACUCCUACGGGAGGCAGCAGUGGGGAAUCUUGCGCAAUGGGCGAAAGCCUGACGCAGCAACGCCGCGUGGGGGAUGACGGCCUUCGGGUUGUAAACCUCUUUCGACAUCGACGAAGCCUUCGGGUGACGGUAGGUGUAGAAGAAGCACCGGCUAACUACGUGCCAGCAGCC
rnacentral:rRNA from 1 species